rnacentral:rRNA from 1 species
GGUGGGUGAGGAGAGUAUCCUAAGGCUAGCGAGAGAACUGUUGUUAAGGAACUCGGCAAAAUGACCCCGUAACUUAGGGAUAAGGGGUGCCACCAUCAGGUGGCCGCAGAGAAUAGGCCCAAGCGACUGUUUACCAAAAACAUAGGUUUCUGCUAAGUCGCAAGACGAUGUAUAGGAGCUGACGCCUGCCCGGUGCUGGAAGGUUAAGGGGAUCUGUUAGAGCAAUCGAAGCAGUGAACUUAAGCCCCAGUAAACGGCGGCCGUAACUAUAACGGUCCUAAGGUAGCGAAAUUCCUUGUCGGGUAAGUUCCGACCCGCACGAAAGGCGUAACGAUUUGGGCACUGUCUCAACAACAGACUCGGUGAAAUUGUAAUUCCGGUGAAGAUGCCGGAUACCUGCGACAGGACGGAAAGACCCCAUGGAGCUUUACUGUAGCUUGACAUUGGGUCUUGGUACUACAUGUACAGGAUAGGUGGGAGGCUUUGAAACCAGGACGCCAGUUUUGGCGGAGCCAUCCUUGGGAUACCACCCUUGUAGUACUGGGACUCUAACCAUAGGCCAUGAAUCUGGUCUUGGGACACUGUCAGGUGGGCAGUUUGACUGGGGCGGUCGCCUCCCAAAAGGUAACGGAGGCGCUCAAAGGUUCUCUCAGUACGGUCGGAAAUCGUACGUAGAGUGUAAAGGCAAAAGAGAGCUUGAUUGCAAGACAUACAGGUCGAGCAAGGAUGAAAAUCGGACUUAGUGAUCCGGUGGUUCUGCGUGGAAGGGCCAUCGCUCAACGGAUAAAAGCUACCCUGGGGAUAACAGGCUUAUCUCCCCCAAGAGUCCACAUCGACGGGGAGGUUUGGCACCUCGAUGUCGGCUCAUCACAUCCUGGGGCUGUAGUAGGUCCCAAGGGUUGGGCUGUUCGCCCAUUAAAGUGGUACGCGAGCUGGGUUCAGAACGUCGUGAGACAGUUCGGUCCCUAUCCGUCGCAGGCGUAGGAAAUUUGAGAAGACCUGUCCUUAGUACGAGAGGACCGGGAUGGACG